CUCCAUCUUUCUUUUCCUCUUCUGACUAUUUCCUCAGCUCUCGUGUGAGCCUUUUGCCUGAUGUCUGUGUUGACUCAAGAUUAGUUUCAAUGAAAGAGUACAUCAACAGGUUUACUCUGAGUGCAGUCUCACAUCCGCCCGUCGGCCCAUGCUGUCACAGUGAGCAAAAAAAACAAAACAAUGCACUUUUUAUUUACUGUACAAUUUGGUGCUUCUGUUUGGAUAAAGGCCCUUGAGGAUGAAUAGAGGCCGGUCUAGCCCGUUGAUGACUCCUGCAAACACAAAUCCCCGAUGGCUGCCGUCGGAGCUGCUUCUGUUCAUCUGGAUCCCAGAAAGCCCAAGAGGCUGACCCCCCAACACUUCCUCUCUCCUGGGUUCUAACCCCAUCCUUCAUCUCUUUUUUCUUGUAAUAAUGUAAUGGUUAAUCUGGAAGCAAUAAGGAAUUAAAUGCUGGUGUUUUUGCUCCA